UACAGGGGGUGCAAACGUUGCUCGGAAUCAUUGGGCGUAAAGCGCACGUAGGCGGUUUGUUAUGUCGGAUGUGAAAGCCCUUGUCUCAACUGAGGAAGUGCAUCCGAAACUGGCAAGCUAGAGUACUAAAGAGGGUCGCGGAAUUCCCGGUGUAGAGGUGAAAUUCGUAGAUAUCGGGAGGAACACCGGUGGCGAAGGCGGCGACCUGGGUAGAUACUGACGCUGAGGUGCGAAAGCGUGGGGAGCAAACAGG
rnacentral:rRNA from 1 species